rnacentral:ncRNA from 16 species
AUAAGAUCCGAUAAUUAUGGUGUCUGUUGCAGACUUAAUAGGGAAUCUGGUGUGAGGCCAGGACUGUACCCGCAACUGUAAGUGCUGACGAAAUAAGCAAAACCACUGUCUAUCUGACGGGAAGGGCUUAGAGUAGGCUGAUGCACGAGUCAGGAGACCUGCCAUCUUUAUAGCGUUGAUC